GUAUUCGAAUAUGCCAAGGAAUUUUGCGUUGCGGUUGGAAUGAUCGCGAACGCCUAUUUUUGUUGAAUUCAUUUUAUCUAGCCUUUCGA
rnacentral:sRNA from 1 species